rnacentral:tRNA from 1 species
UGGGGUAUAGCUCAGUGGUAGAGCUUGUGCUUGGCAUGCACGAGGUCCUGGGUUCAAUCCCCAGUACCUCCA